rnacentral:rRNA from 1 species
UCGAUUCCCUUAGUAGCGGCGAGCGAAACGGGAAGAGCCCAAACCAACAAGCUUGCUUGUUGGGGUUGUAGGACACUCUAUACGGAGUUACAAAGGACGACAUUAGACGAAUCAUCUGGAAAGAUGAAUCAAAGAAGGUAAUAAUCCUGUAGUCGAAAAUGUUGUCUCUCUUGAGUGGAUCCUGAGUACGACGGAGCACGUGAAAUUCCGUCGGAAUCUGGGAGGACCAUCUCCUAAGGCUAAAUACUCUCUAGUGACCGAUAGUGAACCAGUACCGUGAGGGAAAGGUGAAAAGCACCCCGGAAGGGGAGUGAAAUAGAACCUGAAACCGUGUGCUUACAAGUAGUCAGAGCCCGUUAAUGGGUGAUGGCGUGCCUUUUGUAGAAUGAACCGGCGAGUUACGAUUUGAUGCAAGGUUAAGCAGUAAAUGUGGAGCCGUAGCGAAAGCGAGUCUGAAUAGGGCGUUUAGUAUUUGGUCGUAGACCCGAAACCAGGUGAUCUACCCUUGGUCAGGUUGAAGUUCAGGUAACACUGAAUGGAGGACCGAACCGACUUACGUUGAAAAGUGAGCGGAUGAACUGAGGGUAGCGGAGAAAUUCCAAUCGAACCUGGAGAUAGCUGGUUCUCUCCGAAAUAGCUUUAGGGCUAGCCUCAAGUGAUGAUUAUUGGAGGUAGAGCACUGUUUGGACGAGGGGCCCCUCUCGGGUUACCGAAUUCAGACAAACUCCGAAUGCCAAUUAAUUUAACUUGGGAGUCAGAACAUGGGUGAUAAGGUCCGUGUUCGAAAGGGAAACAGCCCAGACCACCAGCUAAGGUCCCAAAAUAUAUGUUAAGUGGAAAAGGAUGUGGCGUUGCCCAGACAACUAGGAUGUUGGCUUAGAAGCAGCCAUCAUUUAAAGAGUGCGUAAUAGCUCACUAGUCGAGUGACACUGCGCCGAAAAUGUACCGGGGCUAAACAUAUUACCGAAGCUGUGGAUUGUCCUUUGGACAAUG